GUUUUUGCACAGUGGCAGUGUCAUAGCCAAUGAGGUCUAUCCAAGGCGUGAUUAUUGCUAAUCGAAAACUGAAGGCAGUGACCUGGGGAGGUUCUAGAGCUGGACAUUGCUGUCCUCUGCUACUGGGACCAGAAGGAAUCUAGGAAAGGAUAUUCCAGAAAUC
ensembl:snRNA LOC120094044 U4 spliceosomal RNA